rnacentral:misc_RNA from 1 species
GAAAAUACAUAUAUAUGUAUUUUCUUUUAACUAACCUCAUUUUUUUUUUUUCAGAUAUUUUGUCUUUGGCUUUAACUUUAAUGAAGAAUUCUAAAUCUAUCUAAAAAUCGAGACAGGGUUGAUUCAUAUAUCCUAUUCACUUUACUUUGGGAAAAAAUUUGAAAAAGACUCAAGUCGAGUCAAAUAAACUACUAAAAAAAUGAAGAAAUGCUUAUAUGUAUGUAUUCUUAGCAUUUUUUGAUUAACACCUUUGUUUUGUUUCUAUUUUUGGAAUGUAAAAAAAAUUCAUCAUCCCUUACGUAAUUUCAAUAUUUAACUUAGAAUAUCCAUAAUUAAUUCCAGCGACAAUUCUUUAGUCUAUCUAAUAAAUAAGAUGUAAAUAAGAUGACCCUCUAGUAUUUCGAUACUGAUUUUAUCACUCAGUAUCAAAGAAUAACAACUUCAAAUUUUCCUUACAUCAGUCUUUUUUAUCCACUACUGUACUAAAAAAAAUUGGAUUUUUUUUUUAACCUAUUUAUUUGUUUUAAAUCGUUGAUGGUUUAAUCCGAAUUUGAAUAUGGGGGUUCUUUCUCUCUUAUGAUGAUAAAAUAUGUUUCUUAUUGUAAAACAAAAUUUUAUUCAAAUAAUGAUAUCGAGAUAGGCAAUUUUAAAAUUAAAUCUUUUUAAGGAUUUUUUAUGAGUUCUUGGGACUCGAAGAAAUGUGAGAUAGACGAAUCUGUUCUAUGGAGUCACUUGAAGAUUCAAAAAGAUCUUAUUUCUUUGUCUUAUUUCUAAUAUUAGAAUUGUAAAUAAAAAAAUAUUCAUACAAUAAAAUAUGGGGUUAAGUUAAAUUG